rnacentral:rRNA from 1 species
AACGUAGGACGCAAGCGUUAUCCGGAGUUACUGGGCGUAAAGGGCAGGCAGGCGGGUCGAUAAGUCGGAUGUGAAAUCUCCCUGGCUUAACCGGGAGAGUGCAUUUGAGACUGUCAACCUGGAGGGCAGCAGAGGCGAGUGGAAUUCCUGGUGUAGCGGUGAAAUGCGCAGAUAUCAGGAGGAACACCCAUUGCGAAGGCAGCUCGCUGGGACGUUACUGACGCUGAGACGCGAAAGCGUGGGGAGCAAACAGG